GUGGCAGCACCCGCAGCGGCGGUGGCGGGUCCGACGCGGGUCCGGCGCUGCGGCGAUGGCUGUGCCCGGGCAGGGCGCGGGGGCUGCGCGGCGCCGCGAGCGGCUCCUGCUGCCGCUGCUGCUGCUCGGCCUGGCGGCAUUUUUGCCAGUGUUCGUGUACUCAUUGAAGGUGUCUCCACUCAUAGAAAAAAUAAGUGACCACAAGGAUUUUAAGAAGCUUCUCAGGACACGGAAUAACAUACUGGUGCUGUAUUCCAGAUCUGCUGCUGCUGCGGAAAGCUCACUCAGGUUGCUGUCCAGCGUAGCCCAGGAGGUGAAAGGACGAGGCACUAUAAGCUGGAUAGACUGUGGUGAUACUGAAAGCCGAAAAUUAUGCAAGAAGAUGAAAGUAGAUCCUAAUUCAAAGGAGAAAGGAGUGGAAUUACUCCAUUAUAAGGAUGGUGCAUUUCAUACUGAAUAUAACAGAGCGGUAACUCUGAAGUCUAUAGUGGCCUUUCUGAAGGAUCCAGAAGGUGCUCCACUGUGGGAGGAGGAUCCGGAAGCCAAAGAUGUUGUACAUGUUGACAGUGAAAAGGAGUUGAGAAGGCUUCUGAAGAAGGAAGACAAACCUCUUCUAAUGAUGUUCUAUGCUCCAUGGUGUGGUGUUUGUAAGAGAAUGAUGCCAUCUUAUCAGCAGGCAGCCACAGAACUGAAGGGUAAAUAUGUUCUUGCUGGGAUGAAUGUUUACUCUGCAGAAUUUGAAAGGAUAAAGGAAGAAUACAAUGUCCGGGGAUAUCCUACAAUCUGCUAUUUUGAGAAAGGAAAGUUCCUGUUCCACUUCGAGAACUAUGGUGCUACUGCAGCAGAUAUAGCAGAGUGGCUAAAAAACCCACAGGCACCUCAGCCACAGGCCCCAGAGACUCCCUGGGCAGAUGAAGAAAAUGUAGUUUAUCACCUGACUGAUGAGGACUUCGACAAGUUUAUAAAAGAUCAUUCAUCUGUGCUAGUGAUGUUCCAUGCACCAUGGUGUGGGCACUGUAAGAAAAUGAAGCCAGAAUAUGAGAAGGCUGCAGAGUUUCUCCAUGUAGCAAGUGAUAGUCCAGGUGUCCUUGCAGCAGUUGAUGCUACCGUCAACAAGGCGCUGGCAGAAAGAUACCACAUCUCAGGGUUUCCUACUUUGAAAUAUUUUAAAGAUGGAGAGGAGAAAUACACUCUGCCACACCUCAGAACAAAGAAGAAGAUCAUCGACUGGCUGCAAAAUCCUGAAGCACCACCUCCACCUGAGCCUGCAUGGGAAGAAAAACAGACUAGCGUUAUGCACCUUGCUGGCGAAGACUUCAGGGAGUCCUUGAAGAAGAAGAAGCACACCCUUGUCAUGUUCUAUGCACCUUAUCGCCUAUGCUGCAGUGGACUGUGCCAAAGGACAGAAUCAUGACCUGUGUAAGCAGGAGGGGGUUGAUGGCUAUCCCACCUUCAACUACUACAACUACGGGAAAUUUGUGGAAAAAUAUACUGGAGAAAGAGGGGAGUCUGGAUUCACCACUUUCAUGCGAACCCUGAGAGAAAGAGACCAUGAAAGAGUAGGAAAGAAGAAGGAUGAAUUGUAGUUUCUGCCUCAAAAGAAGCUUUCCGCUGCACUGUGAAUGGUUCCAGGUCUUUUGUUAAUGCACCUGAGACGUCACAUAUUCUCAAGACAGAGACUUUUUUUUAUAAACAGCCAUGGCCAUUUUGUACAAUUUUGAAAUAAAGUGAAACCACUUGAUUUUUGAAAGAAAAAUAAAUUAGAAUGUUGCCAUAAUGUUUUAAAGAAAACUUGGCAUUUUCUCUCAUUUUUGGGAGACUAUGCCCACUGACACUCCUAUGCAAUAUUUUUGUAGUCUGUAGUGUGUCUGUAGGUGAUGUUGUUUGAUAGGGUGAAUCUUUUUUUAAAGGUAUUGCUGUACAUGUGGAAAACAAAGGGAAGGGUCAUGGUUUUUGUUUUUUGUUUGGGUUGUUCUUUGGGGUUUGGGGCAGGGGGCAGGUGUUUUUUAAACCAGUGAAGGAAAAUGGGACUUGUAAGACACAGAUUUAUCAAAAUGCAGUUUUACAUUCUUCUGAAAUAGUUACAUGUUCUUCAGUGAGAUUUGGGGAAACAAUUUUGAGGUGCUCAGGGAUAAAUAAGGUAUCUGAGUUAAUGAAGACAUUAACAUGGAUGAGUCCAGAUCUGCUGAUUUCAUUUAAAUCUCUCUGGUCUUUGAAUCAGGACUGUUUACAUAACUUUAUCGAAUGUAUUGAGUAAAUUAAGCCAAGUAUCAAAAAACAGCAGAGCAUGGGUAAAAUUAAAGUAAACCCUCCUUUUUUUGGCAUCAACAUUGUCAAAUGCAUCUGUAAGUUAUGGCAGGAGUGAUUAUCUUACAGGGGUAUACAGUUACCCUUAUAGGGUAUGCAGUCUUCUGUCACAUUGGGCCAUAUAAAAUAUGUGUUGGAAAGUGUUACGUUCAACUGUCUUGAUAAAUGCAUAAUGCUUCUGAUAAUGCAGUAAUGUAUAUUUUACGUGUUUACAUUUCAAAGGUUUAUCUGCAGUUGUAUGUGGGAUUUUUCCAUUUUGCUCUUUAAGAAAUUGCAUAAACAAUCUCUGACAAAAUCAUCGCUGUAAAAGCUGUAUUAGCAGCAGCUGAAAUCUGUUUCACUCCUGAUGCUUUAAAAAGAAAAGAUUGAUCUGGAGGUACUUAUGUCUUCAUAGGAGGGGAAAGGGAGGGGCAGGAAGUUGUGAUUCACUUUGAACUAAAAAUAAAUUUAAAAAAAGACAA